CCCUUAGAUGUUCUGGGCCGCACGCGCGCUACACUGAUACAUGCAACGAGUUUAUAACCUUGAUCUGACGGUCUGGGUAAUCUUCAAACUGUAUCGUGUUAGGGAUCGAUUCUUGCAAUUUUUAAUCGUAAACGAGGAAUUCCUAGUAAACGCAAGUCAUCGGCUUGCAUUGAUUACGUCCCUGCCCUUUGUACACACCGCCCGUCGACUCUACCGAUUGAAUGGUUCGGUGAAAACUUUGGACUGUGGCAUUGUCCUUCAUUGGACUUCGCCGUAGGAAAUUGUUUAAACCUCAUCAUUUAGAGGAAGAAUAAGUCGUAACA
rnacentral:rRNA from 1 species